CGCUGUGACGGGCGGCUCGCAGGAACCCGGCGCUGAGGAGGGAAUACACCCGUCAGUAAGUAACUGAAGGGGACAUGAAGAAUUGACAUUUAAAUGGCCAGCAUGUUGCAAAAGCUCCUUCCUUGGCAGCCAGAUGGAUCUGGAGGUAUGCGAGGCCUUAUCUUGCAUUGGGAAAUAAUGUCUGUAAAUAUGCUGUGAACAAAAUGCUGGAGCUUCUGCUGCUGCCACCCACACAGAGGCAUCAAAGAAAACCCAGCUAUGUUUCAUUUGCAGUAGCUCUCCUACUGAUGGCUU